rnacentral:lncRNA from 1 species
AAUCAACACAGAUAACACUGCUAAAACAUUCAUAUAAAUACUAAUAUAUGCAGAUUCACUCCAUUAGAAAAUUCAUCUAUUAGAAUACUAGAGACCUGUGUCCGCAAAGCCCACAGAAAACAACUAUUUGAACAGUAGGAGCACUAGAAACACCAACAAUGAGGUUUAGGGAACAGUGGGAGGGGACAAUUUGGUACAUUUGCCAUUUUGUCACAAUGGGUGCAAUCUAAAAUACAAUUUUAGACUAGCAGUGUAUAAAAAUACUUUUUAAACAAUACUUUUGGUAGGCAUAAGUAGCACUUUAAAACAAACAGCUAUGUAGUUUUCAGGUCUUUUGAAGGCCUAGAAACAAUUCGAUUUACCACCUUUGGCUAGCUCACAAGAUGUGGGCCUGGAAAGCAAGUUCUCUUGCACAUUAUGUACACAUCCCACAGUCCUACAGUUUCCCCCUUCUGCCUACGGCACACAAUGACCACUGCAAGAGACUUCUGUCUCAGUGUGGAUGUAAAAUGAGGGGGACCUGUUUCCAAUUCCAGGACUGGAUGAACACAAGAAAAAAGCAAAGUGGAAUUCAAGGGUAUAUGGUUCUUAUUUCACUGAAAGGCCCAGCCUGUGAGUUUAGUCUGGCAUAUCAAUGUUUAACUUGGGAGGUGGAGGCACAUAUUUCCCAGGGCUCUGUGUUAUAACUACCCGCGCCUUCUUUCCAAACAUUGGAGCAAUUUUCGGAGCUUCUGACACCGAUGCGUCUUCAGCAUCUUCACUGUCUUCGUGAUGGAGAUCGUAAGAGAUAUUUCCAUAUUCUCUUAAAAACGGAAAAACUUCUAGUAGAAACUGACAGAAAUCCCUGCGAAUCCCAAACCACCAAUGAUUGCCCCCUUUCCGCCUGAACGUUGUAGCCAUCAAAGUCAGUAAUGAGAGCCAAAGCGGGAUGAAAAUGGAAAUGUAAGAGAACGUAUUGUGGUCAUCCAGUCUGUGAACUAGCAGGACCUCAAAAAUGAGCAGGGGCACGACAAUGGUGAUCCAGCUGAUGGCCAUGGUCACAUGUGUUCUUCGCUGCUCUGCAACCACAUCCAGGGACCGCAGGAAUAGGAGGGACCACACGAUGUAAUAGAGAACUACCAGGCAGAGGAAUGACAUGAGGAUCCACAGGGGCACGAACACCACUAGCCACGGCCAGUGGAUAAUCCUGUCCAGCCUCAGGGCGAUGAAGAUGAACUGCAGGAUGUUGACAGAGCACAGGAUCUCCAGUUCCAAAGACCUGUCGUGUCGGAAGCCCCAGACACAGGCGGCCACGGACACAGGGGAAACGAAGAAGAGUGGCAUGAAGACCAGCAGCCAAAAGUGGGUGCCCCUCUCCACCCUGUCGCAGACUAGUAUCUCAAACAUGAGUAGUAGCAGGUGGAUGCCCACGGCGAUAAGCAUGGCUUUGAAUUCCACGCAGGCUUCCCCCUCUGUACGGUAGCGUGGGUUGCGGGCCCACACGCCCGCACCCACCGAGGCGCCCACGAUGACCAGGAGCUUCCACAGCCAGAUGGGGGCGAAGACUGCCCAGUAGCUCCACUGGAUGAUGCCGUCCAGGCGCAGGGGCAGCAGCACGGAGAAGAGUAGCAAGCAGGCAUAAAUGAGGAACUUACUGGGGUUGAAGUCCUGGAACAGGCCCCUGGGGUUCAUGGCGAAGGCUGUACUGCCUCUAGAUGGGCAUCCGCCCGCUGCGUGUUAGAGGCUCCAGACCGCAGCUCCGAGGGGCCGGAACACGUGCGAGCAGUCACGUGGCCCGGCCGGAAGCGAGCCGAGGGCACAGCGUGCGCUGGCCGCGAACGGUACGGUGCCUACGCCGGGGACACUGCCCCAACCCCGUAGCUCAGGCUUCAGUGGAUGCUCACGCCGUCUGCCUUCAUUUCGCAGCCACGAGGCCGACGCCGCGUUGCGUGCGGAGUCGGAUGGGACCUGGCGCGCUGCGGACUCGGCGACCCGCAGACCCGCUGCCUGUGAGCUGGCCGAGACCUUCGGAGGACGCUUCCUGGAGGAGGCCGGAACAUGGAGGAGGGAGUGGGAACAGCUUUCAGGAGCCAGGACAGGAUGCCCGGAGCCCUGACAGGAUGACAGUGGCCACUUCAUGCCAGGGUGUCCCAGCCUGGCCCGCUUCUCUGCUGCUCGGUUUUUAUGGUUGUGUGUGACAGCAGGAUCUCUAAGUUCCCAGCCUUAGACUGAAUGUGGAAGCUGCAAAAAUAAUUUGGUAGAAGCAAAAGGCUUUUGAACAGGUAAGGUGUUUCUGGUGGUUCCCCCCUCGCCUCCCCCACACCCUCAUGUUGCAGCCUGUGACUUCACUACAGCCUUGGUUCUGAACACACAACAUAAAUGUUUGCCACCGUGCAUUCUCUAACUUAUCUCUCAGCUCAGAAAACACUUCGUGAAGACACCCUGCAGACUGCGCUGUCAACUGUAUGUAACAAUAAGCACACGCGGCUCAUUGAUAUGUCAUUUUCUUUCAUACUUAAUAGUAAAGUUAUGUUGCCAAUGUAUUCUUUUAAAAUAAAUUUCUUU